rnacentral:rRNA from 1 species
GUCGAGCGACGCAUACCGGAGGGGUAACCCACCGGUAUGACGGAGCGGCGAACGGGUGAGUAACACGUGAGUAACCUGCCCCACAGACCGGGACAGCCCAGGGAAACCUGGAUUAAUACCGGAUACCCUCGAAGGAUCGCAUGAUCUUUCGAGGAAAUGCCUUUGUGCUGUGGGAUGGGCUCGCGACUUAUCAGCUAGUUGGUGGGGUAACGGCCUACCAAGGCGUCGACGAGUAGCUGGUCUGAGAGGACGAUCAGCCACACUGGGACUGAGACACGGCCCAGACUCCUACGGGAGGCAGCAGCAGGGAAUCUUGCGCAAUGGGCGAAAGCCUGACGCAGCAACGCCGCGUGGGGGAUGAAGGCCUUCGGGUUGUAAACCCCUUUCAGGAGGGAAGAAAUUGACACCUCCAAAAGAAGCACCGGCCAACUACGUGCCAGCAGCCGCGGUAAUACGUAGGGUGCGAGCGUUAUCCGGAAUCAUUGGGCGUAAAGAGCUCGUAGGCGGUUCAGUAAGUCGGCUGUGAAAUUUCGAGGCUCAACCUCGAAACUGCAGUCGAAACUGCUGUGACUCGAGUCCGGUAGAGGAGAAUGGAAUUCCCGGUGUAGCGGUGAA